GUAAGCACAUCGCUGUUCUCCUGCCUCUGGCGCUUUGCUAAUUCCUCUUGACGAAUCCCAGAUCAGAUUCAGGAAAGACUCCACAUCUCGCUGUGAUCACAUCCUGUGAAGAUUUGAUGAUGUCUGCUUGCGUCGAUGGUGGCAAUUCCUCGUUGGGGGCCGAAGAAUUUGAGGUGUUCUUGAGUUUUAGAGGCUCCGACACCCGUCUCAACUUCACCGAUUGUCUCUAUCACUCUCUAAUUGGAGCUGGGAUUCAUGUUUUCAGAGAUAACGAAGAGCUCAGAAAGGGUGAAAAGAUUGGAGACGAGUUUUUGCGUGCCAUCCAAUCCUCCAAAAUAUAUGUGCCCAUCUUCUCUAGGAACUAUGCAUCCAGUUCAUGGUGUCUUCACGAGCUUAAGCACAUGGUGGACUCCUUAAACGAAGUAAAUGACAAAGUGAUCAUACCCAUUUUCUACGACGUGAAUACCUGAAGAUGUGAAACUCAAAACUCCAUUGUAUCUCGACGCUUUGGAGAGGCAGGUGGUGAAGUUUGGCCGCAAUGAUGUUCAGCAAUGGAAGGAGGCUCUGAUGGAAGUUGCAAGAAUCAAGGGAUGGCACUUGAAGGAUAAAGGCCACGGUGAAAUCAUCAACAAUUUCAUUAAUGAGGUUUUGACCAAGCUGAUGAAGAGGAGGAGAAAUCUGCCAGAUCAUAUAGUCGGGAUUCACGAUCAUGUGGAAGCUGUCAUGGACUUGUUAAACGAAGGUUCUCGUGAUGUUAAUUACCUAGUCAUCUAUGGAAUGGGGGGUAUUGGUAAGACAACUCUUGCAAGUACUGUCUUUAAUCAAAUUUCCAAUCAAUUUCAAGGCUAUAGCUUCCUCUUGGACAUUCGUGAGUCUGCACAACAUGGUAAAAUUAUUGACUUACAAAAAUAGAUGUUAUAAGAAAUUCUCCAAGCCAAAUCUCUAGAGAUCCAUUAUUCUGUUGAUGCACUGACUAACAUAAUUAGAGAAAGGUUUCAUGCUAAGAAAGUUCUCCUUGUUCUUGAUGACGUGGAUAAGUGGGACCAACUCUCUAAGCUAGCAGGAAAGAGUGAGUGGUUCGGUUCAGGAAGUAAAAUUAUCAUCACAACGAGGGACAUCAACUUUUUGCCAAUUAAAGAGGAGGAGGAAAAUAGUGCUUUCCAAGCAUAUUUUGAAGAGUUUAAAAUUUAUGAAAUGACAGAAAUGGAACAUUCCCAUGCUCUUCAACUCUUUAGUAAACAUGCCUUCAGGAUGGAUUUCCCACCACAUGAGUAUGUAGAUUUCUCAUGCAGAAUUACAUACAAAACAUGUGGACUUCCCUUAGCUCUUGAGGUUAUCGGUUCCUCACUUUAUCGAAAAAGUAAGAGCUUCUGGAAAGACACGUUGAAGAAAUUAGAUUUGAUGCCCAAGUAGGAAGUAUUCAAUAAGUUAAUGAUCAGUUAUGACAUAUUAGAGCAUCAUCAAAGAGAAAUCUUUCUUGAUAUCGCAUGUUACUUCAUUGGAGAACAAAGAAUCCACCCACACUAUAUGUGGAAAGCUUCCAAGUAUUUCCCAAAAAGUGAAUUACUUGUCCUUUCUCACAUGUCUUUGAUAAAGAUUGUAGAGAAUGAUAAAUUGUGGAUGCACGACCAACUUAGAGAUCUUGGAAGAGAAAUUGUCCGGCGCGAAGACAUUAAUAUUCCUAGGAAGCGUAGCAGAUUGUGGGAGUCUGAGAUUGCCUUGAACGUUGUUCGAGGAAAGAGGGGACAGAAAAUGUGGUCGCACUUAGACUCUCGGGACUCUCCAAAGUGCAUAAUUUCACAAGUAUGGAAUUUUCAAAACUGCCCAAUCUAAAAUUCUUGGAAUUAGAGGGUGGGAACUUGGUAGGGGACUUUAAGCAUCUUCUCUCCAAGUUAACAUGUCUCUCUUGGAGUUAUUGCCCUUCGAAAUUAAAAGCAAAGAAUUUAUGUCUCAAGAAAUUGGCUGUGCUCAUGCUCUCAAGAUGUGACAUUGCUUACGAUAAGGCUGGAUGGGGUCAUGCCUGGUACAACAACAUACCAUGCAAUUUACUUUUUCUGCCAUUUGUCUCACUAAUCAAACUUAUUUAUUUACCUUUCUUGAUUUGAUUGACUCUUACAUUGUUUUUCCAGAUGAGUGAAAACUUGAAAGUUAUGUAGAUCACUAAUUAUCCAAGCUUAAAAGGGACUCUUGACUUCUCGAAAUGCCAAAUUUGAAGAGAUUAGUUCUUCAAGAUUGUCAUAGCUCUAAUUUUAAAUCAGUGUCCUCAAAAAAUGAUUACAGCCUUUUUGCAGGGCUGCAAUCUAUUCAUCAUUCCAUUGGAGGGAUUACGUUUCAAACUCCAUUGGAAAUUUAAAAUCACUACUUGAAUUGAAAUUGGAUUG